rnacentral:miRNA from 1 species
UGAGGUAGUAGGUUGUGGGGU